ACCGCUCUCCAACUGUCUCGGGCUCCGCCCCGGCAACCAACGCGAAAUGUGAAAUGCGCUGCGGCUGCAGGAGAGCGCGCGGCCAGCAGAGGGCGCCCGCGCCACACCUCGCGGAGGCCUCCCCAGAGGGGCUGGAGUGGAGGCAGAGCCACAACCGGGAAGCGCACUUCAGGGAACCGCACUUAGGGUCCGACGGGAAGGAGAACGGAGACCAUCAGGUUGGAAGACACUCCCCCCACUAACUGAGAACUGAUGCCUGAAUUCUCCUUUUCCACCAAUGAGAUCGAAGAAACAAGUUUCUGGACAACUAGAUUCUGGCUAGGGAUGACGCACGGGGAGGGGGUCCACCAGGGCUCCUCACGUGGCAACCCGAAAUAAUCGCCCAGGCCAGGGUUUCCAGAACAACGUUCAUUUUGCGUAAUUUUCUCAUUUUCAAUAAAGGCAUAAUCUUUAAAUGUGAAA